rnacentral:lncRNA from 10 species
CUCAUGUGUUAAGUAAUAUACCAUCAUUAGCUUUCUAUUCUGACAGUGGGAAUUAAAUUACUGUUCAAAUUCUCUGGCUCAUUCUCUCCUGUCACUAAACCUGGUCAUUUCCAUAAUAUGUACAAAUAACUCGCUAACUUAAGUAAGCAGCAAAGGGGACUGGAAUUGUUUUUAUCUCAUGUCGUAGCUGAACUGAUGCCUCACAGACCAACACACUUUGGAAAUGAAAUUAUUUUCUGGGAGACAGCAGUGAGGUUCAUUCUUUCAAAAGGGUUUUGGAUGCAUACAAUUGUUGAGGCUCAGAACACGACACCCCGAAGGACGAUGCCUUGGCGUUGCUGCACACCAUAAGCUGAAGGAGACUGGAAAGGCUGCAGAGCACGGUCUCCCGGGCCUUCCCCGUCCUGUCGUCUCUCUCUCCUCCUUCUACCCACAAAAGAGAGCAAGCCGAAAAACCUAGAAAGAUCCCUCUCUCCCUUCUCCCUCCAGACACUCAUUCCAGAGGAGUCUUGCCGCCUACUCAGAGGUGGGUGAAGAAUGCUAUGGAGAGAGGCCAAGAAGGAUCUGGAGUGGGCUUGCUGAGUUUCUGCUCAAUCUAUUAUCAUUAGCUAAUAACCUUUUCUCCAACGUUAGAUUUUAAGUUAGACUUUAACGUUUCUUCCUCGUGGCUGUCCUUUCUUCAUCAAACCUAAACAUGCAAAUAGACAAUUUUCCCUGGGUCUUUGGGUCUUUAUUUCCAAAGGCUCCCAUAUCAUUUAAAACUUGGAUUAAAUAAAUGUGUUAUGCUUUUCUCCGGUACACCUGCC